rnacentral:tRNA from 1 species
GGCGCUAUAGCCAAGUGGUUACGGCGACAGAUUAGAAAUCUGUUGGGGUUUCCCCGCGCAGGUUCGAAUCCUGCUGGCGUCG